rnacentral:rRNA from 1 species
UAAUUGGGCGUUAAGUUGCAGGGUAUAGACCCGAAACCCGGUGAUCUAGCCAUGGGCAGGUUGAAGGUUGGGUAACACUAACUGGAGGACCGAACCGACUAAUGUUGAAAAAUUAGCGGAUGACCUGUGGCUGGGGGUGAAAGGCCAAUCAAACCGGGAGAUAGCUGGUUCUCCCCGAAAGCUAUUUAGGUAGCGCCUCGUGAACUCAUCUCCGGGGGUAGAGCACUGUUUCGGCUAGGGGGCCAUCCCGGCUUACCAACCCGAUGCAAACUGCGAAUACCGGAGAAUGUUAUCACGGGAGACACACGGCGGGUGCUAACGUCCGUCGUGAAGAGGGAAACAACCCAGACCGCCAGCUAAGGUCCCAAAGUCAUGGUUAAGUGGGAAACGAUGUGGGAAGGCCCAGACAGCCAGGAUGUUGGCUUAGAAGCAGCCAUCAUUUAAAGAAAGCGUAAUAGCUCACUGGUCGAGUCGGCCUGCGCGGAAGAUGUAACGGGGCUAAACCAUGCACCGAAGCUGCGGCAGCGACGCUGAUGCGUUGUUGGGUAGGGGAGCGUUCUGUAAGCCUGCGAAGGUGGCCUGUGAGGGUUGCUGGAGGUAUCAGAAGUGCGAAUGCUGACAUAAGUAACGAUAAAGCGGGUGAAAAGCCCGCUCGCCGGAAGACCAAGGGUUCCUGUCCAACGUUAAUCGGGGCAGGGUGAGUCGACCCCUAAGGCGAGGCCGAAAGGCGUAGUCGAUGGGAAACGGGUUAAUAUUCCCGUACUUGGUGUUACUGCGAAGGGGGGACGGAGAAGGCUAUGUUGGCCGGGCGACGGUU